GCUGCUGGUGGUGGUCAGAGGCUUCUGUCUGCUGCCUCCUCACCAGCAGUGUGUGAAUGAAGGAUUGUGUGGUAAAGCGCCCUGGGGGGUCAGUGAAACGGGGUUCUCCUACAUGGAAGAACAGCCUCCUGGUGAACCAGCAUCUACACACAUCCUAGUGGGAGUGUCCACCCUGAGACCGGGAGGUUGUGGGUUCAAGUCCACAUUCGGGUCAUCCCAGUGUGGACCCAAUGCCUUUGACCUUCACCAGGUGGAGUCACAUGAUCAGAUGUUUCACUGGUUAGGGAUGAUGUUAACCAGCUGUGGCGGCCAUCUUUAACUGGGUGGGCUCCAGCGCUGCUCUGAAGGAAAUGGCGUUGUUAUCUGAACCCAGCAGCAGCUCAACCCACCACGAGAUAAGAGCCCUGCUGGUUCUUCUGAGCAGGAAACAGGAAGUUGUGAUGGACAUGCACUUCCUGUUUGGAAACCAUAGACAUCGAGUUCUAUAAAUGUUCUUUCUACCUUUAGGUUCUGUUGUUUCCAAACAACCUGUUCUCCACCCUGUCCUGGACCUCCUUCCAGAUCUAUUCAGGGCUUUAUGAGAUCGACCUCUCAGCCAACAAGGUUCCUGAGGUGACCCAAAGUCCUGCUGUGGUCCUGCCGAACCUCAGCGUUCUCCGGUUGGGAUCAAACCUUCUGACGUUCCUCUCUGAUGGAUCCUUCACAGCAUGUCCUGCUCUGACUGAACUUUACCUAGAAAAUAACUCCAUCUCUUCCCUGAAGGACCACACCUUCUCUGGGCUCAGUAAGCUGGAGGUCAGAACAUGAGCAGAACAUCUACUCCUGAAGAGAAACUGUGUCUGUUCCCUACCUGAGAUGAUGAACCUGUCCCAGAUCUAAACAAACUGAUAACAGAUCACCUGUCCAUCCCUUAGAUCCUGGACCUAUCAGCCAAUCACAUCUCAGUCCUGCCUGACCUCAUGCUGCACCCUCUGACAGCCAUCGAAACGCUCUACCUGGAGAGCAACAAGAUCAAAGAGAUGCCUGAUGAUUGGUUCAGCCAGAAAGAGGAAGUGCCAUACCUGUACCUCUCAGCCAAUCCCUGGGCCUGCUCCUGUUCCCUUGACUACCUGCGCAGGUAUCUGGAUGAUCAUGAAUUAAACAUCUACGUCCGAGAUGGUCCGAUCAUCCAGAGUGAUGUAAACAGCGUGGCUUGUGCUGCUCCUCAGGAACACAAACACAAACCUGUCGUCAGUCUAGAAGACUCUGAUCUCUGUUCUUCUUCACAAGAGUCGUUCGACCCACAAACAGUCUCCCCUCCCCUCACCUUGGCUCCGCCCAUCCCAGAUCCGUCCCUGACCACGUCUCCUGCUGUGUCACUAGAACUUCACACAGAGGUCUACAGAGUGGUGACGAGGUCCUGGUACCAGAACUUCACCCACUGGGUUAAAUGGUCGCAUCUUUCUGGGUCAGAGUUCAUCACCAGAACACCUGCUCGGUCACAUGACUUGACCUUUCAGUCUGUGGGUCCAUCAGAAGUCAUCAGAGCCGGUCCUUCACCCACAGCAGCUCCGUCCGUCCAGCCUGGAACACCAGCUGCGUCGACUGAAGCAUCAACCAUGUUAAUCCAUUCUCUGGGGUCCAACACCUUCAUUGGUUCUACAGGUUCUGCAGGUUCUACAGGUUCUGCAGGUUCUGCAGGUUCUACAGGUUCUGCAGGUUCUGCAGGAGUGUUCUGUGUGUGGCUGUUAGCAGGAGGCCUUCUGCUGAGCUCAGCCUCUGCAGCGUGUGUUCUGGUGACUCUAGUGAAGCUGGUCUUCUGGUACAAGAGGGUUUACAAACCGCUGAGCAGGAGCUUAGCCAGGAGGGUCAAAGGUCAAGGAGGGGUCCCACUCAUAAUGCCAAGUAGGAAGGAGGAGAUCAGAGGAGAAGGAGGAGUGAUGGCUCUGUACCGCUCUGUUCUGUUUAUCAGUAGAGAAGAAGGAGAAGCUGUGGGGGGAGGAGACAGAAACCAGCAGGUCAUUACGCUGACGCUGGCUGGAGGAGAAGGAGGAGAUGAGGGAGGGAGGGAGGAGAGGGGGGUGUACAGGAAGACUCUGUACCGGCUGGUAAGCAAAGAGGAGGAGAUGGAAGGAUGGAGGGAUGUUCUGGAGGAGUGUCGGGUCUCUGCUGAGGAUGGAGGAAGGAGGCGCGUCAGGAGGGAUAGAGAGCCUACAGGAGGAGGAGGAGGAACCAAAAAGCGUUACAGUGUGAUUCUACGGGAAGAGAGGGAGGAGGCUGAGGGAGGGCGGGAGGAGCUGGACUGGGUGGUGGGAGGCUGGGAGGUGAAGAGAGGUCCUGGAGGAGGGGGGGAGGGCCUGAGGAGCAGCUGGGGGGAGUGGCUAGCACACUAUUUACCCAGCAUGCCUUGGGGAGUAACCACAACCCCAGAGGAGGAGGCAGCUCCAUGACGCCCUUUAGCUCCCCCCUGAGUGGGAGGAGCUAAAGAUGUGAUGUGUUCCUAUCUGUAGAGUUCGACUUUAUGCUGAUGACAGUGUAGCAUUUGUAAGUGGUUACUUUUAAUAAAUGCUCAGUAGAAUAAAGCUCUUGAUUGGUUCUUUAAUCCACUAGAAUGAUUCCACUGAAACAUCUGGUUGGUCACUCAGCAGGAGCUGAGCUUCGGGUGAACUCGGAGCUCCGUGAACUCACUUCCUGUUGUCCCGAGUUCUAGCCAAACUUUGAUGUGUCUAGGUGUUUACCGAGACCCUCAGACACUCCCCUUUCUGUGACGCUUAGAAAGCUCACAUCACUUAAUAUCUGGAUUUAUUGUAUAUUAAUAUGUGAAUGUAGCUGAUUAUUAAUCAUUAUUAAAUCAUCAAGUAGACUCAUUUAAUGUAUUUAAAAUCAGAAAUAAGUCAUGAAAUAAUUAUUAAUUCAUUAUUAAAUCACUUUAGAUGAACUUUCGCUGUAGAUAACACAGAAUAUGACUGUAAACUUGCAGGCUGAAAGAAAUCCUUUUAUUAGAUGUAUAUUUAUAUAGAGCAGGGGUAGGCAACCCUGGUCCUCGAGGGCUGCAGUCCUCCAUGUUGUCCAGCCAUGCAUGAACUUGCAGCUUCUAAUUGGCUGAACACACCUGAUCCAGGUAAUCAACAGCAGGAACAACAAAGGUGGUUGGAGAACAAGCAGGACUGCGGCUCUCUAGGACCAGGGCUGCCUACCCCCGAUACAGUUUAUAAGAGUCUCGUCUCCUGCAUGGACCUCGGAGGUAUAGCUCAGAUGAGGCCGGGGUUCAGGGGCCACGAAGAGGGGGCCCACGGGCGCCACAGAAAACACAUAAAAGUGUCUGCCAAAUAAAUAAACGUAAACAUAAGAGGCAAUACUCGAGCGGACCACAGGUCCUCUAUCUGCGGUCCGCUCGACUAUUGCCUCUGGUUUCAUUGCAGGUGACAGAAAUGCAGGUUUCAGGUGUUAUGACCUGGACUCCAGGUUCAUACGCCAUGCCUGAGGAGAGAGGCUUUAGACCUCUGAGAUACUCAAAGAUCCCAAACACAUGUUGGAGUUCCACCAACCAGAACUUCUACAUCCACUCAGGUCCAGGAAGGCCUGGUUCUGCGGAGUGUUGGGUGUGUUUGUGAUGGACAGAGAGUCGACUGCUUCACCGUCCACCUGAACGCCAACCACCUGCACCACAAACAAUAAACAACAACCACUCAUGAACUCAGCAAACAUCAGUUUUUGAUGUAAUCUGAUUACAUUUCUGAGAUAUUAUGUCUCUCUUUUUUAAUCAAUACAUUCGCAGUGGUCGAAUAAAUGCGUUGGUGGUCGUUUCUGGGGGAAACAAUAUAUUGGUGCACCUUUACCAGGAACCAAACAGUUACCCACAUCACAGCAGUAUGGAAGCAUACGUGUAACAGAAAUCAAAUUAUUAUGCAGUAGCAGAAAGUAUUUUUCAUUUUCACAUUAGAACUGCCAAAUUUGACUCAUAAAUAAAAUGAAUAAGCAAUCUUCCAAACUGCUGUUUCAUUGUCUUCUUCAUCAUUGCUUAUUCUGUGACUCAACAUAUCCUUCCGGAGUUUUCCCCUUUUAGAAAUGUAGAAUCUUUCAGAAAUCCAUAAAAGUGAUUAUCUUAUGUACAAUAUAUGACAUGUCAUUCAAAUCCCAGGUUUCACAAGUUUGUAGGAUUUCCUUUUUCCACCUUCGGAAUAUUGCUAAGAUUAGAAGCAUCCUUUCCAGGAGUGAUGCUGAAAAACUAGUUCAUGCAUUUAUUACAUCAAGACUGGAUUACUGUAAUCCAUUACUCUCAGGAAGUCCACAGAAUGUAGUUAAAAGUCUUCAGCUUGUCCAAAAUGCUGCAGCUAGAGUUCUGAUGAGAAUUAAAAAGAGAGAUCAUAUCUCUCCUGUCUUAGCUUCCCUACAUUGGCUACCUGUUAAAUUCAGAAUAGAUUUUAAGAUCCUUCUUCUCACAUAUAAAGCUCUUAAUAAUCAAGCUCCAUCAUACAUCAGUGAUCUGAUUGUUCCAUA
rnacentral:lncRNA from 1 species